rnacentral:rRNA from 1 species
AGUGAACGCUGGCGGCAGGCCUAACACAUGCAAGUCGAACGGAAGCACAGUAAGUGCUUGGGGUUUCGGCUGGUGACUGGCGGGUGAGUGAGAAGUACAUCGGAUUUCAUUUUUUUGGGGGUGAGAACGUGGGCACUCUUACGCUAUUGGUGCAGACGACGUACGGGUGUAAGCAGGGGAUCUUCGGAUCUUGUGGGAGCGAAUGAGGCGAGGUCGGUUUAGUUAGUUGGCGGGGUAAAGGCCCACCAAGGCGACGAUCGGUAGCUGGUCUGAGAGGAUGAGCAGCCACACUGGAACUGAGACACGGUCCAGACUCCUACGGGAGGCAGGAGUGGGGAAUAUUGGACAAUGGGCGCAAGCCUGAUCCAGCCAUACCGCGUGGGUGAAGAAGGACUUCGGAUUGUAAAGAACUUUAUUUGGGGAGGAAGGGCAGCAAGUUAAUACCGCGCUGUUUUGACGUUACCAAAAGAAUAAGCACCGGCUAACUUCGUG